UACGUGGGGUGCGAGCGUUGUCCGGAAUUACUGGGCGUAAAGAGCUCGUAGGUGGUUUGUCGCGUUGUCCGUGAAAACUCACAGCUCAACUGUGGGCGUGCGGGCGAUACGGGCAGACUGGAGUACUGCAGGGGAGACUGGAAUUCCUGGUGUAGCGGUGGAAAUGCGCAGAUAUCAGGAGGAACACCGGUGGCGAAGGCGGGUUCUCUGGGGCCUGUACUGACGUGAGGAGCGAAAGCGUGGGGGAG
rnacentral:rRNA from 1 species